rnacentral:misc_RNA from 1 species
GCCCUUUUUUUUUUUUUGGGUCAAUAGUAGUAAUAAAAGUGGACCUCUCUUGUUGGACAUACAUCCUCUUAGUAUUUGAUCAUUUGUCAAAAUUUGACAUGCAGUUUUUUCAUCAGAGUCCUUAAGCAAAAUCAUGCGAUCUGCAGAUUUAUUUUCCCCUCGUGGAUAUCUAAUUUUGUGAUUUUUUUGCUAUUAGCAAAAGGAUAAACAAAAUAAACUAAAAAUCCUUUGGAACUGCUUUUACUCGAGUAUUGAUUUAACCUUUUACUGGGAUGCACUAUUGCGUUGACAUCAUUUUGCAACCUUAGUGUUUAAUAAAAUGUGUGCUUCCGGUGGUGAUCAUUUAUGCGAGUUUUUCAUUGGUGUUUUUGGCAGGU